rnacentral:sRNA from 1 species
AUUCUGGUUCCAUGCACCCGCCGCCCGCGGCUCUGCUAAUGCCUGUCGUCUUUGGGGUGACUAGGACCCUCCAAUCUUUUUCCGCGCUGAAAGCCUGGCCGCAAACACCGCACCCCCGGGGCGGGCUGAGACGCAGAGGCCGGGGCGCCCCUCUGCCGGUCUGCCCGGAGUUCCCGCGCCCGCAGCAGGCUGGGGACACGGCGAGACCCGCUGCACCUGGCCAGGGAGGGGUGGGGCGGGCGCGUUAGUGCAGCUGGGGGAGGUCCCGCCCCGGUCCCACCCUCCCGGCCGUCCGGUGGGGAAACCCGGGAGCCGCCCCGCGGCGCGGCUGCGGCUCUGCCUCUGCGCGACAGGGAAAAUAAAAGAAGCAAAAACAGGCCCUGCUGUGAGGGACCACGAGGCAGUGCCAGGAUGAAAGAGUUGGAGUAACCUAGGUGAUUCUGAGUGAAUCAGUCAGGAGGCCUUCCUGGAGGGGGCUGAGGCCCCAGCUUGUGGCCACCACAACGUAUCAAGCUAUUUCCAGGGUUGGGCUCAGGACUCAGAGCUG